UAACUUUUUUGUAGAUAAGAAAAAAAAAAAAGUUCGGUUAGAGAAGGUUAAUGGCGUAGAGGUAGCUAUUAAUAAAUCGUAAUAAAACAAAAUAAUCUGUAUGAUAUCAUAAAUCUUACCCAUAGGUAAGAUUUAAUCCGCGGACACUAGAUGGAAGGAAAUUAUUCGAAAGACAAAAAAGGAUGAGAACGCGAGGAAGGACAAAAUACAACUAGCAAAGAUAAUUUUAGAUGCUGUGUUCGAAAGGUAUAUUUGAGCCAACUGUAGGUCGAGAGAAGCUGUGAGAACGAACAAAGCACGAGUUGUCGUUUGGAUUCCCGCCGUCCUUGCAUCUCGAAGCACGCGCACGAAGAGGAGAAAAGUACACUCGAUGUAAUCUGACGACAUUCUUCAACUAUACGCUGCUGAAGUUCUCUUAACGAAGCCGGUUGGGUGGCAUAUAUUCUGGUUUAUAAAUAUCCACAUAGAUAAGAAAAAAAAUCAAAUUAAUGGAUAAAUCUAGCUUUCAAAUAAAUCAAAGUAUUUUUUGUUAUAGGAUAUACCGAUCCACACAUUCAUCAAAAUAUACUAUCUACUGUAGAAUGUUUGACGUAUACUGAGCAACGAUUUUCUUACUGAAUGGACUUCAACGAUACACAUUUUGAAUAUUUAAUGAAAUAAAAAUUUUUUUCAACCUGAAAUUAGAAAUACAUUUUCUCGGAAACUAUUGCCAAAUAAAAAAGAAAUA